CAGCCGCCGCGGUAAAACGAGGGGGGCAAGCGUUGUUCGGAAUUAUUGGGCGUAAAGGGCGCGUAGGCGGCCAUUCAAGUUAGAUGUGAAAGCCCUGGGCUCAACCUAGGAAUUGCAUUUGAUACUGUUUGGCUUGAGUUCGGGAGAGGUGAGUGGAAUUCCCAGUGUAGAGGUGAAAUUCGUAGAUAUUCGCAAGAACACCAGUGGCGAAGGCGGCUUACUGGCUCGAAACUGACGCUGAGGCGCGAAAGCGUGGGGAGCAAAUGGGAUUAGAUACCCCAGUAGUCCCUGUCUCUUAUAC
rnacentral:rRNA from 1 species